GACGAACGCUGGCGGCGUGCUUAACACAUGCCAGUCGAACGGAAAGGCCCUGCUUUUGUGGGGUGCUCGAGUGGCGAACGGGUGAGUAACACGUGAGUAACCUGCCCUUGACUUUGGGAUAACUUCAGGAAACUGGGGCUAAUACCGGAUAGGAGCUCCUGCUGCUUGGUGGGGGUUGGAUAGUUUCGGCGGUUGGGGAUGGACUCGCGUCUUAUCAGCUUGUUGGUGGGGUAGUGGCUUACCAAGGCUUUGACGGGUAGCCGGCCUGCGAGGGUGACCGGCCAAAAUGGGACUGAAAUACGGCCCAGACUCCAACGGGAGGCAGCAGUGGGGAAUAUUGCACAAGGGGGGGAAGCCUGAUGCAGCAACGCCGCGUGCGGGAUGACGGCCAGCGGGUUGGAAACCGCAUUCGCCUGUGACGAAGCGUGAGUGACGGUAAUGGGUAAAGAAGCACCGGCUAACUACGUG
rnacentral:rRNA from 1 species